UAAUACGGAGGGGGCUAACGUUGUUCGGAAUUACUGGGCGUAAAGCGCGCGUAGGCGGAUUAGACAGUUGAGGGUGAAAUCCCGGAGCUUAACUUCGGAACUGCCUUCAAUACUACUAAUCUAGAGUUCGGAAGAGGUGAGUGGAAUUCCUAGUGUAGAGGUGAAAUUCGUAGAUAUUAGGAAGAACAUCAGAGGCGAAGGCGGCUCACUGGUCCGAUACUGACGCUAAGGUGCGAAAGCGUGGGGAGCAAACAGGAUUAGAUACCCUGGUAGUCCACGCCGUAAACGAUGGAAGCUAGUUGUUGGACGGUUUAACUGUUCAGUGACACAGCUAACGCAUUAAGCUUCCCGCCUGGGGAGUACGGUCGCAAGAUUA
rnacentral:rRNA from 1 species